GACGAACGCUGGCGGCGUGCUUAACACAUGCAAGUCGAACGGAAAGGCCCUGCUUGCAGGGUGCUCGAGUGGCGAACGGGUGAGUAACACGUGGGUGAUCUGCCCCUUACUUUGGGAUAAGCCUGGGAAACUGGGUCUAAUACUGGAUAGGACCAUGCUGUAGGUGGUGUGGUGGAAAGAUUAGUUUCGGUAAGGGAUGAGCUCGCGGCCUAUCAGCUUGUUGGUGGGGUAAUGGCCUACCAAGGCGUCGACGGGUAGCCGGCCUGCGAGGGUGGACGGCCACAUUGGGACUGAGAUACGGCCCAGACUCCUACGGGAGGCAGCAGAGGGGAAUAUUGCACAAUGGGCGCAAGCCUGAUGCAGCGACGCCGCGUGGGGGAUGACGGCCUUCGGGUUGUAAACUCCUUUCAGCCAUGACGAAGCCCUUGUGGUGACGGUAGUGGUAGAAGAAGCACCGGCUAACUACGUG
rnacentral:rRNA from 1 species